CCUGACUGCUAUCGGAUUGAUACUAAGCCAUGCGAGUCAUUGUAGCAAUACAAGGCAGACGGCUCAGUAACGCGUAGUCAACCUAACCUAUGGACGGGAAUAACCUCGGGAAACUGAGAAUAAUGCCCGAUAGAACACUAUACCUGGAAUGGUUUGUGUUCCAAAUGAUUUAUCGCCGUAGGAUGGGACUGCGGCCUAUCAGUUUGUUGGUGAGGUAAUGGCCCACCAAGACUAUUACAGGUACGGGCUCUGAGAGGAGUAGCCCGGAGAUGGGUACUGAGACACGGACCCAGGCCCUAUGGGGCGCAGCAGGCGAGAAAACUUUGCAAUGUGCGAAAGCACGACAAGGUUAAUCCGAGUGAUUUGUGCUAAACGAAUCUUUUGUUAGUCCUAGAACCACUAACGAAUAAGGGGUGGGCAAGUUCUGGUGUCAGCCGCCGCGGUAAAACCAGCACCUCAAGUGGUCAGGAUGAUUAUUGGGCCUAAAGCAUCCGUAGCCGGCUCUGUAAGUUUUCGGUUAAAUCUGUACGCUUAACGUACAGGCUGCCGGGAAUACUGCAGAGCUAGGGAGUGGGAGAGGUAGACGGUACUCGGUAGGAAGGGGUAAAAUCCUUUGAUCUAUUGAUGACCACCUGUGGCGAAGGCGGUCUACCAGAACACGUCCGACGGUGAGGGAUGAAAGCUGGGGGAGCAAACCGGAUUAGAUACCCGGGUAGUCCCAGCUGUAAACGAUGCAGACUCGAUGAUGCAAUGGCAUAGAGCUAUUGCAGUAUCGCAGGGAAGCCGUUAAGUUUGCCGCCUGGGAAGUACGUACGCAAGUAUGAAACUUAAAGGAAUUGGCGGGGGAGCACCACAAGGGGUGAAGCCUGCGGUUC
rnacentral:rRNA from 1 species